GCUUGUCUCAAAGAUUAAGCCAUGCAUGUCUAAGUAUAGUACCUUAUACUGCGAAACUGCGAAUGGCUCAUUAAAUCAGUUAUAAUUCAUUUGAUGGUACUUACUACUCGGAUAACCGUAGUAAUUCUAGAGCUAAUACGUGCGUAAAUCCCGACUUCUGGAAGGGACGUAUUUAUUAGAUAAAAGGCCAGCCGGGUUUCGGCCCGUUCUUUGGCGACUCAUGAUAACUUCACGAAUCGCAUGGCCUUGUGCCGGCGAUGUUUCAAUCAAAUAUCUGCCCUAUCAACUUUCGAUGGUAGUGUAUUGGACUACCAUGGCAGUCACGGGUAACGGAGAAUUAGGGUUCGGUUCCGGAGAGGGAGCCUGAGAAACGGCUACCACAUCUAAGGAAGGCAGCAG
rnacentral:rRNA from 1 species